CACAGUGGUCUCUGGGAUUAUG
rnacentral:miRNA from 5 species